rnacentral:rRNA from 1 species
UACAGAGGUCUCAAGCGUUGUUCGGAUUCAUUGGGCGUAAAGGGUGUGUAGGUGGCGCCGUAAGUCGGGUGUGAAAUUUCGGAGCUUAACUCCGAAACUGCAUUCGAUACUGCGGUGCUUGAGGACUGGAGAGGAGACUGGAAUUCAUGGUGUAGCAGUGAAAUGCGUAGAUAUCAAGAGGAACACCUGAGGUGAAGACGGGUUGCUGGGCUGACACUGACGCUGAGGCGCGAAAGCCAGGGGAGCAAACGGG